ensembl:lncRNA
CAUAGCUGGCCAGCAGGGGGCGAUGUGUGCUUUCUGGACACUACAUGACUGAAUACGUCUGUCACCCAGACAUGAAGGUGAGGAGUAUGAUGCAUGUCAUCCCGCCUCUGACCUCUGACCUCUGCACAUUCUCUCCAUACAGUGAGGUCACAUGACCCCCAGCCUGCUUUUUAUCCACCGCUACAUGAAAUGAGAGCAGUUAGAAUGGAUGGAUGAUUUUAUCAACCUAUAAUUUAAAACCGGCUUCUAAACAAAGGAAGAGAUCUUGAGUUGUCCCUCUCAUCCUUAAGUGUCAGCCGGGCAGUUUCAAGUGUGGGCAGAAGAACAAGAAGAACUGAAAGGAUCCCAGCAAGUGAAAGUCAGCGGACCACUCGGCAUCAUUUCAGACGUUCAGCAUCGUAAUGUGUGGACAUACUCAGGUCAGAUCAGCGCUUCCAGCAGGGUAAGUGCUCUGCGGCACCUUUUAGCAGUCACGUGAUUUACAAGAACAGCUCUGGAAACCUACCCCGCCCCGUGCUGCUGGUCCACUGCUCAUCCAGACUUUACCCUGCAAGGACCCAAAGCCGGAGCGAUGCGCGCUGUGACAUCUGCGGCGCUCCUCGGCGUCCUGCUGGGCGUCUGUCUGCCGGCGGCCGCUGACGAUGCAGCAGCACCAAGCGGACCUGCUGUCACCUCCACCUCAGCACCACCCAGCACUGAUGCAGCAGCACCAAGCGGACCUGCUGUCACCUCCACCUCAGCACCACCCAGCACUGAUGCAGCAGCACCAAGCGGACCUGCUGUCACCUCCACCUCAGCACCACCCAGCACUGAUGCAGCAGCACCAAGCGGACCUGCUGUCACCUCCACCUCAGCACCACCCAGCACUGAUGCAGCAGCACCAAGGGGACCUGCUGUCACCUCCACCUCAGCACCACCCAGCACUGAUGCAGCAGCACCAAGGGGACCUGCUGUCACCUCCACCUCAGCAGCACCACCCAGCACUGAUCCAGCAGCAUCAAGUGGACCUGCUGUUGCUCCAGUAGUGGAAGGUGGAGCUGGCGGUCAUGUACAUUAUCUUGGCAAAACGACCCAAAAUGACCUGAUAGAGUCCAUCAGUUCUAAAAUAAUCCAACAUGUUGUGACAUUUCUCCAUCACCUCAGACUGCACCCUGACCUGAGUCUGAAGGAGCAGCUCUCUGUCAGGGUGGUGUCACAGGAAGACAUUCCUCAGGUAUCGCAGCAUCUCUUGGAGCAGUCCACAGGAGGACACUUGUCAUCUCUGUGAUGCACAUCAGAAUCAC